UAUGGGCGGGGGGCACAAACUAGGGGGUGGCGACUGUUUACUUAAAACACAGGGCUCUGCGAAGCCGUAAGGCGACGUAUAGGGUCUGACGCCUGCCCGGUGCUGGAAGGUUAAAAGGAGGGGUGCAAGCUCUGAAUUGAAGCCCCAGUAAACGGCGGCCGUAACUAUAACGGUCCUAAGGUAGCGAAAUUCCUUGUCGGGUAAGUUCCGACCUGCACGAAUGGCGUAACGAUCUCCCCGCUGUCUCUGAUGUGGACUCAGCGAAAUUGAACUGUGUGUCAAGAUGCACACUUCCCGCGGUUAGACGGAAAGACCCCAUGCACCUUUACUAUAGCUUCGCACUGGCAUCAGGAUUGUGAUGUGCAGGAUAGGUGGUAGGCAUCGAAGCGGGGACGCUAGUUCCCGUGGAGCCAUCCUUGAGAUACCACCCUUCGCACUCUUGAUGUCUAACCGCGGCCCGUUAUCCGGG
rnacentral:rRNA from 1 species